rnacentral:rRNA from 1 species
AUGCACGCUGGCGGCGUGCCUCAUACAUGCAAGUCGAGCGAACAGACGAGGAGCUUGCUCCUCUGACGUUAGCGGCGGACGGGUGAGUAACACGUGGAUAACCUACCUAUAAGACUGGGAUAACUUCGGGAAACCGGAGCUAAUACCGGAUAAUAUAUUGAACCGCAUGGUUCAAUAGUGAAAGACGGUUUUGCUGUCACUUAUAGAUGGAUCCGCGCCGCAUUGGCUAGUUGGUAAGGUAACGGCUUACCAAGGCAACGAUGCGUAGCCGACCUGAGAGGGUGAUCGGCCACACUGGAACUGAGACACGGUCCAGACUCCUACGGGAGGCAGCAGUAGGGAAUCUUCCGCAAUGGGCGAAAGCCUGACGGAGCAACGCCGCGUGAGUGAUGAAGGUCUUCGGAUCGUAAAACUCUGUUAUUAGGGAAGAACAAAUGUGUAAGUAACUAUGCACGUCUUGACGGUACCUAAUCAGAAAGCCACGGCUAACUACGUG